GCAUCGAUAGCUCAGUGGCAGAGCGGUGGGGCGUUUACCCAUGCGGCCCGGGUUCGAUUCCCGGUGGAUGUA